rnacentral:rRNA from 1 species
GGGUUGUGAGGUUAAGCGACUAAGCGUACACGGUGGAUGCCCUGGCAGUCAGAGGCGAUGAAGGGCGUGCUAAUCUGCGAUAAGCGCCGGUAAGGUGAUAUGAACCGUUAUAACCGGCGAUACCCGAAUGGGGAAACCCAGUGUGACUCGUCACACUAUCAUUAACUGAAUCCAUAGGUUAAUGAGGCGAACCGGGGGAACUGAAACAUCUAAGUACCCCGAGGAAAAGAAAUCAACCGAGAUUCCCCCAGUAGCGGCGAGCGAACGGGGAGGAGCCCAGAGCCUGAAUCAGCAUGUGUGUUAGUGGAAGCGUCUGGAAAGGCGCGCGAUACAGGGUGACAGCCCCGUACACAAAAGCGCAUGUGCUGUGAGCUCGAUGAGUAGGGCGGGACACGUGGUAUCCUGUCUGAAUA